ACCCGCAAACCGACACUGGUGCGCGAGAUGAGUAUUCUAAGGCGCUUGAGAGAACUCAGGAGAAGGAACUCGGCAAAUUGACACCGUAACUUCGGAAGAAGGUGUGCCCUAUUAGUGUGUAGUGAACAACGAAGCAUGAAUGGGUUGCAAAAAAUCGGUGGCUGCGACUGUUUAUUAAAAACACAGCACUCUGCAGACACGAAAGUGGACGUAUAGGGUGUGACGCCUGCCCGGUGCUGGAAGAUUAAAUGAUGGGGUGCAAGCUCUUGAUUGAAGUCCCAGUAAACGGCGGCCGUAACGAUAACGGUCCUAAGGUAGCGAAAUUCCUUGUCGGGUAAGUUCCGACCUGCACGAAUGGCGUAACGAUGGCCACACUGUCUCCUCCUGAGACUCAGCGAAGUUGAAAUGUUUGUGAUGAUGCAAUCUCCCCGCGGAAAGACGGAAAGACCCCAUGAACCUUUACUGUAGCUUUGUAUUGGACUUUGAACAGAUCUGUGUAGGAUAGGUGGGAGGCUUUGAAGCAGGGUCGCUAGAUCUUGUGGAGCCAACGUUGAAAUACCACCCUGGUGUGUUUGAGGUUCUAACCUAGGUCCAUUAUCUGGAUCGGGGACAGUGCAUGGUAGGCAGUUUGACUGGGGCGGUCUCCUCCCAAAGCGUAACGGAGGAGUUCGAAGGUACGCUAGUUACGGUCGGACAUCGUGACGAUAGUGCAAUGGCAUAAGCGUGCUUAACUGCGAGACUGACAAGUCGAGCAGAUGCGAAAGCAGGACAUAGUGAUCCGGUGGUUCUGUAUGGAAGGGCCAUCGCUCAACGGAUAAAAGGUACUCUGGGGAUAACAGGCUGAUACCGCCCAAGAGUUCAUAUCGACGGCGGUGUUUGGCACCUCGAUGUCGGCUCAUCUCAUCCUGGGGCUGUAGCCGGUCCCAAGGGUAUGGCUGUUCGCCAUUUAAAGAGGUACGUGAGCUGGGUUUAAAACGUCGUGAGACAGUUUGGUCCCUAUCUUCCGUGGGCGCUGCAGAUUUGAGGAAGCCUGCUCCUAGUACGAGAGGACCGGAGUGGACACACCUCUGGUGUAUCGGUUGUCACGCCAGUGGCAUUGCCGAGUAGCUAAGUGUGGAAGAGAUAACCGCUGAAAGCAUCUAAGCGGGAAACUCGUUUCAAGACGAGAUCUGCCGGGGCCUUGAGCCCCCUAAAGAGUCGUUCAAGACCAGGACGUUGAUGA
rnacentral:rRNA from 1 species